rnacentral:rRNA from 1 species
GAGUUUGAUCCUGGCUCAGGAUGAACGCUGGCGGCGUGCCUAAUACAUGCAAGUCGAGCGAACGGACGAGAAGCUUGCUUCUCUGAUGUUAGCGGCGGACGGGUGAGUAACACGUGGAUAACCUACCUAUAAGACUGGGAUAACUUCGGGAAACCGUAGCUAAUACCGGAUAAUAUUUUGAACCGCAUGGUUCAAAAGUGAAAGACGGUCUUGCUGUCACUUAUAGAUGGAUCCGCGCUGCAUUAGCUAGUUGGUAAGGUAACGGCUUACCAAGGCAACGAUGCAUAGCCGACCUGAGAGGGUGAUCGGCCACACUGGAACUGAGACACGGUCCAGACUCCUACGGGAGGCAGCAGUAGGGAAUCUUCCGCAAUGGGCGAAAGCCUGACGGAGCAACGCCGCGUGAGUGAUGAAGGUCUUCGGAUCGUAAAACUCUGUUAUUAGGGAAGAACAUAUGUGUAAGUAACUGUGCACAUCUUGACGGUACCUAAUCAGAAAGCCACGGCUAACUACGUGCCAGCAGCCGCGGUAAUACGUAGGUGGCAAGCGUUAUCCGGAAUUAUUGGGCGUAAAGCGCGCGUAGGCGGUUUUUUAAGUCUGAUGUGAAAGCCCACGGCUCAACCGUGGAGGGUCAUUGGAAACUGGAAAACUUGAGUGCAGAAGAGGAAAGUGGAAUUCCAUGUGUAGCGGUGAAAUGCGCAGAGAUAUGGAGGAACACCAGUGGCGAAGGCGACUUUCUGGUCUGUAACUGACGCUGAUGUGCGAAAGCGUGGGGAUCAAACAGGAUUAGAUACCCUGGUAGUCCACGCCGUAAACGAUGAGUGCUAAGUGUUAGGGGGUUUCCGCCCCUUAGUGCUGCAGCUAACGCAUUAAGCACUCCGCCUGGGGAGUACGACCGCAAGGUUGAAACUCAAAGGAAUUGACGGGGACCCGCACAAGCGGUGGAGCAU